CAGACGUCCAAUGCUGGCUGAAAAAAGUGGGCUUUGCAGCUCUGAAGUGCGUACCUGAGUGCGUAUCACUGGAAAGUGACGCAGUCCAAAUUGUAUUUUCCGACACACCAAAGAAUAAAGACCAUGUUGACAAUGACGUGGUGUCUUGUUUGGCCAGAUGUCUGGGAAAGUCUGUGGUGGAUAUUGAGCGUUGGAUUGAAGAGUGCAAGAAGAACGUCAAAUGCUGGGUAAAGAAAGUGGGAAUCGCAGCUCUCAAAUGUGUUCCAAAGUGCACGCUCACAGCGCCUACACGGAGCAUCACAUCUUGGAGAUUGGAGGUACUGAAUUAUAACACUCAGGGAGAAGGUAGAAGAUUUGUACAGUAGUUGGGCCCAGGUGAAAAGCACAGUUGAUGAAAUGAAGCGAACUGGUGCCUGUGUUAUUGACACACGCAUAUACUAAAGUAUUUUAUUGAGGAAGAGACCACAGGAUACACAAGUAAUUUUGUGAAAGAAGGGUGUCCAACACACUAUUGAAAUGAGCCAAUAAUAGAAAUGAAUGAUGUGGAAAAAAUGAUAGAAACACGGAAUAUUUAUUGAUUGAUUCCAGAUGAAUUUACUUGCGAUUGACAAUGACAUAAGAAAAUAUUUCAAAAUUAACGUAGUAGUAUGCCUAUUAUGAUUAUGUUAAAACAUAUUGUAAAGACUCAUUUGUGAUAAUCUAUGUACUUUUUAUUAGUAAUCUCCGUGAAGAAUUGUUUGAAGAAAUACAAUCUCGAUCUGUUUUGUCCAUCAUAACGUAGGCCUAUGCCUUCUUAUUUACUGUUUAUAUAUAAUUAUGUCAAGAAUAUCUUAAAUUGUCAAUCCAUUUGUAUGGAGAUGAAGUUACACAGUUUGAGCAAGUCUUGAUAAUUAACAGUAAAGCCCCUAUUUCACACAGACCACGAAUCCCACGAAUGGCCAUGAAUUGACAAAUUU